rnacentral:rRNA from 1 species
CCUACGGGGUGCAGCAGUGGGGAAUAUUGCACAAUGGGGGAAACCCUGAUGCAGCGACGCCGCGUGAGUGAAGAAGUAAUUCGUUAGGUAAAGCUCUAUCAGCAGGGAAGAAAAUGACGGUACCUGAGUAAGAAGCCCCGGCUAACUACGGGCCAGCAGCCGCGGUAACACGUAGGGGGCGAGCGUUAUCCGGAUUUACUGGGUGUAACGGGGGCGUAGACGGCAGUGCAAGGCUGGAGUGAAAGGCGGGGGCUCAACCCCCGGACUGCUCUGGAAAAUGUAGGGCUGGAGUGCAGGAGAGGUAAGUGGAAUUCGUGGUGUAGCGGUGAAAUGCGUAGAUAUUAGGAGGAACACCAGUGGCGAAGGCGGCUUACUGGACUGUAACUGACGUUGAGGCUCGAAAGCGUGGGGAGCAAACAGGAUUAGAUACCCUGGUAGUC